GUGUGGAGCAGAGGGAGAGGAAGAGAGGAACUCAAGCAGACACUGCGCUGAACAUAGAGCCUGAUGUGAUCCCACAACCCUGAGAUCACAACCUGAGCUGAAGCCAAGCAUUGGACGCCCAACUGACUGCACCACCCAGGUGCUCC